rnacentral:rRNA from 1 species
GAUGAACGCUGGCGGCGUGCCUAAUACAUGCAAGUCGAGCGAACGGACGAGAAGCUUGCUUCUCUGAUGUUAGCGGCGGACGGGUGAGUAACACGUGGAUAACCUACCUAUAAGACUGGGAUAACUUCGGGAAACCGUAGCUAAUACCGGAUAAUAUUUUGAACCGCAUGGUUCAAAAGUGAAAGACGGUCUUGCUGUCACUUAUAGAUGGAUCCGCGCUGCAUUAGCUAGUUGGUAAGGUAACGGCUUACCAAGGCAACGAUGCAUAGCCGACCUGAGAGGGUGAUCGGCCACACUGGAACUGAGACACGGUCCAGACUCCUACGGGAGGCAGCAGUAGGGAAUCUUACGCAAUGGGCGAAAGCCUGACGGAGCAACGCCGCGUGAGUGAUGAAGGUCUUCGGAUCGUAAAACUCUGUUAUUAGGGAAGAACAUAUGUGUAAGUAACUGUGCACAUCUUGACGGUAACUAAUCAGAAAGCCACGGCUAACUACGUG